GCUCGUUCUGCGUCCAGCCAGAUCACGGCCCGCAGCAGAGCACGCAGGUAGCAUUUGGGGGCGAUUAUGAGAGAAGGCCGUGGCGGCGACGGGGGAUUCAGCGGUUGGAGGGACGGCGGGGGGGCGCCGGCGACGCGCUGGAUCAACGCGGCCCCCUGUAGCGGCGGCCGACGUCAGCAUUUCAGAGGAAGAAGAAGAAAUGGAGUCAGAUAUAUUAUUUGUGCAACGUUUGCGUGUUGUUGCAAAAACCAAGCUCAAUCCACCAAAGAGGCGCAUAAUAGAUGGCAUCGGCUUUGGUGAUCUCAUGAGGAUCGCACCAUUCACUGUCCAUAUGAACUGAUCGAGUGGAUUGUGAUGAACAUUGACCCUGAUACACGCACUGUUUUUCGAGUCAUCGAUGUGUCGUAACUGGAAGUCGACUCAUACACCUCGACUAGUCGAUCGGCAGGGCACGACUCGUCAAGAGUCGCUACCCCAGAAAGACUCGUCGACCUCAAAAACCUUGGAUACACGUGAGCUGAGGCUUAAUCAGAAGAAGUCAAUUGUAUUCACAAGAGACAUGGUGAAGAAAGUGUUUAAUGUCCCCUCAGGUAACAGACUGAUGGAGCUCUUGAAGAGACAUGAGCAAUGUGAUCUCCGCAACAUUUACCACAAGAAUGGGAGGGCUCCCAUUGCCCACACAACAAAGUGCUGCAUAGAGCGGGUAAUGAUGAUGCUCUCACCUUCUGAAGGCCUUGGGUGCUGUUAUCACUUGCAACAGUUUUAUGCCCGGGCACCGGCAAUAUGGUCCCCCUGGAGUGCCUAAAAAGCCUGAUAGAGAUGGACAAGGUUGCUGAGUUUGCCUGGGAUGAGCACAUUCUAAACUUUGCGAUGAAAGAAGUAAAGAAUUUCAAGGACAAUGCAAAGCUGCAGCCUUCCUCUCCAUUCUUGGUUGGCGGAUGCUUCCCUAUGCUAGCGGUUGUAUAUAUGGAUCUGGUUUUCCCUCCCCCUGGCAUAGAUGAGCAGAAAUUGAACCUCUCUCUGCCGAGAGCUUGCUUUGUGUUUGAUAAGGAUUUUGCUCUUGUGUUGGAAUACAACAAGAACAAGCUUUGGUUGGGCAAAGCCUCAUUCGGGAUGCGGCCUCUCCUCCUUUUGUCAGACACACCAUACGCAACAUUGAAUUCCCAAGGUGGUGGUGCUGCCAAUGCUCUGGAAACAGCUGUCGAAGAUACAGCGAGGGCUGAUGCAGAAAUGGGAGGGUCCGCCAAUGGCCCAGAGGUGGUUGUUGCUCAAGACCAUGCUGCUGCCAAUGGCCUGGACAUCUCUGGUACUCGAGACGAUGGGACUGCAAAUGAUCCUGUGGGAGAUAGCGUUCCGUAGGAAAAUGUCAAGAGUGUUGAUGAAGAGUUGUGCGGUUCACUAGACCAGUGGCUGAACAACCCAACACCAUUUGGUGUAGAGUUGGAGCUCCCACCACAUUUGGCUGCAAUCUAUGACAAGCACACCAAAACAUAUGUUGUAGAGCUCAAAGGCGCCCUAAAUUCUUUCGGGCAGGUGCUGCAAACAAUCCGUUGCAAGCGAACGGGGCAGCUCCUGUUAGAUGUUCAUGCUGCUUCUAGAAGUUCUCCACCAGAAUCAGAUGAACAGAACAAUAUCAUUUAUGAUAUUCCAAUAGCUCGCAGCGAUGGGGUAGGUAAGGAGGGGGAACGAGGUUGUAGUAAAGGUCCAAUCAGCAAGGAUGCAGAGAAGCCAUCAGUUGAUAAGGUGGACGAGCCAGUGGAAGGAGCUCGAAGCAAUGGGACAAAUGUCGCUAUUGUCUCAGACUUGCAAUCUGAAAGCAAGGUCGAUGAGUCAGCUGGCAGAGUGAAGCAAGCGAUUUUCUUCGAGAACGCAGAAGGGUAAGGUGCUCCCAUUGAGCAGAAUCAAGAUGGGCAUCAAACUAUCCCUCAGGAGCACUCCCUGUCUCCCACAAGGAAUGCAUUAUAUGAAGAUGUGUCAUCUUGCAGUUUGUUCCCCGGGGGAUGUGAAGUUUUUGAGUGGUGGAGCAGAAUCCCAGACAGGCCUACUCCCUCCAAUGUAGGGGAGUAGAGAGAGGAGGAACGGGGUUCUGAAUGGGACUGGCGGUGGGGAUCAACGUGGGCGUCGCACUCAUCCUCGCCUUUGGCCGAUGCAAGAGCUCCCGCUCCGCGCGUCGCCGGCAGCUGGUAAGCCCAGCGCCCCCCUCCACAGCGCCGGCCACAAAAAAAUUGAAUUGACGGGAUGCUCAUGAAAGAAUCCUUUUGCUUUCAGUGCACUUCUCGACAAUCCCAUGUGAUUGUUUGUUAUAUUUUGCAUUGAUAUAUUAGUAGUUUCUGGAUCACAGGAGUAAUCUCAUUUAUCAGUGUUGUUCCAUGUACAUUACCUGACAGAUAUGCCAGGGCCCUGACUCAGUUAGGGUCUAAGCUGAUUGUUUGGUUGACGGAGUGGAACUUUUUUGCUUAAUAAGUUGUGUAAGCUAUGAUUUAUAUAGAUAUAUAAAAUCAAAAUCUCCAUGCUGAGGUUGAUAUUCUAGUUC